AAAGCGCGCGCAGGUGGUUUGUUAAGUUGGAUGUGAAAGCCCCGGGCUCAACCUGGGAACUGCAUCCAAAACUGGCAAGCUAGAGUAUGGUAGAGGGUGGUGGAAUUUCCUGUGUAGCGGUGAAAUGCGUAGAUAUAGGAAGGAACACCAGUGGCGAAGGCGACCACCUGGACUGAUACUGACACUGAGGUGCGAAAGCGUGGGGAGCAAACAGGAUUAGAUACCCGGGU
rnacentral:rRNA from 1 species